rnacentral:rRNA from 1 species
CACGCCUAACACAUGCAAGUCGAACGCAGUAGCAAUACUGAGUGGCAAACGGGUGAGUAUAAUGUGGGAAUCUGCCUUUUGGUUUGGAAUAACACGGGGAAACUUGUGCUAAUACCGAAUAAGCCCUUACGGGGAAAGUUUUAAUGCCGAAAGAUGAGCCCGCACUUGAUUAGCUAGUUGGUAAGGUAAAAGCUUACCAAGGCAACGAUCAAUAGCUGUUCUUAGAGGAAGACCAGCCACAUUGGGACUGAGACACGGCCCAGACUCCUACGGGAGGCAGCAGUGGGGAAUCUUGCACAAUGGGGGAAACCCUGAUGCAGCGAUGCCGCGUGAGUGAAGAAGGCCUUUGGGUUGUAAAACUCUUUCGUCGGGGAAGAAAAUGACUGUACCCGAAUAAGAAGGUCCGGCUAACUUCGUGCCAGCAGCCGCGGUAAUACGAAGGGACCUAGCGUAGUUCGGAAUUACUGGGCUUAAAGAGCUCGUAGGUGGUUAAAAAAGUUGAUGGUGAAAUCCCAAGGCUCAACCUUGGAACUGCCAUCAAAACUUUUUAGCUAGAGUGUGAUAGAGGUAAGUGGAAUUUCUAGUGUAGAGGUGAAAUUCGUAGAUAUUAGAAAGAACACCAAAUGCGAAGGCAACUUACUGGGUCACUACUGACACUGAGGAGCGAAAGCAUGGGUAGCGAAGAGGAUUAGAUACCCUCGUAGUCCAUGCCGUAAACGAUGUGUGCUAGACGUUGGAAAUAUAUUUUUCAGUGUCGCAGCGAAAGCAUUAAGCACACCGCCUGGGGAGUACGAC